rnacentral:rRNA from 1 species
AACGAACGCUGGCGGCAUGCCUAACACAUGCAAGUCGAACGAGACCUUCGGGUCUAGUGGCGCACGGGUGCGUAACGCGUGGGAACCUGCCCUUAGGUUCGGAAUAACUCCCCGAAAGGGGUGCUAAUACCGGAUAAUGUCUUCGGACCAAAGAUUUAUCGCCUUUGGAUGGGCCCGCGUUGGAUUAGCUAGUUGGUAGGGUAAAAGCCUACCAAGGCGACGAUCCAUAGCUGGUCUGAGAGGAUGAUCAGCCACACUGGGACUGAGACACGGCCCAGACUCCUACGGGAGGCAGCAGUGGGGAAUAUUGGACAAUGGGCGAAAGCCUGAUCCAGCAAUGCCGCGUGAGUGAUGAAGGCUUUAGGGUUGUAAAGCUCUUUUACCCGGGAUGAUAAUGACAGUACCGGGAGAAUAAGCGCCGGCUAACUCCGUG